rnacentral:rRNA from 1 species
CGGCGGACGGGUGAGUAAUGUCCGGGAAACUGCCUGAUGGAGGGGGAUAACUACUGGAAACGGUAGCUAAUACCGCAUAACGUCUUCGGACCAAAGUGGGGGACCUUCGGGCCUCACGCCAUCGGAUGUGCCCAGAUGGGAUUAGCUAGUAGGUGGGGUAAUGGCUCACCUAGGCGACGAUCCCUAGCUGGUCUGAGAGGAUGACCAGCCACACUGGAACUGAGACACGGUCCAG